rnacentral:rRNA from 1 species
UGGAAUGGUUUUUGAUUAAAAUCUAUAUGGCCUUUGGAUUGGACUGCGACCGAUCAGGCUGUUGGUGAGGUAAUGGCCCACCAAACCUGUAACCGGUACGGGCUCUGAGAGGAGGAGCCCGGAGAUGGGUACUGAGACAAGGACCCAGGCCCUAUGGGGCGCAGCAGGCGCGAAACCUCUGCAAUAGGCGAAAGCCUGACAGGGUUAUUCUGAGUGACUUUCGCUAAGAAAGUCUUUUGACACCUCUAAAAAUGGUGUAGAAUAAGGGGUGGGCAAGUCUGGUGUCAGCCGCCGCGGUAAUACCAGCACCCCGAGUGGUCGGGACGAUUAUUGGGCCUAAAGCAUCCGUAGCCGGUUUUACAAGUCCUCCGUUAAAUCCAACUGCUUAACAGAUGGGCCGCGGAGGAUACUAUAAGACUAGGAGGCAGGAGAGGCAAGCGGUACUCAGUGGGUAGGGGUAAAAUCCGUUGAUCCAUUGAAGACCACCAGUGGCGAAGGCGGCUUGCCAG